ACAACGUUUUACUGAUGUAAAACUGGUUCCCGUUAAAAAAAAUAGGAUAUAUCGCCUGUAUAUCUAGGUCACGGUAACAGUUCCGAUGUCGUCUGUUGACAACGUGUGUAAACAACUUCUAAGUUACAGCUCAUCGCUCAGAAGAAAGGAAGGUUUAUCAUAAAGGAUAAAUACAUGCGUUCUUUUAAAAUAAAGAAUAUGAAUAGCUUCAGCCUGAAAGUUCACACAGUAUUGAAUGAUUCUCAACUUAUCCAAUGUUAUCAGGUCAUAUGAUAUAAGUUUUCGGAACUGGAAGUUGGAGAAAUUCGGCAUCCGAUCACAGUGAUCUUUCGUAUGACGAAACCUGGAAAGAAGGUCGACGGCUAGCUCUGGCUGAUCACCUACCACAGAAUAUGUUCGUUAAGAGUAAAUCCCCUGCGGAUACUGUCUGUGAACGGAAAUACGAACUUCAAAGCUUGAACCAGGAGGGCAUUUUGUCCAUAUUCAUACCAUAUCGUUGUAGCUGCAGUGCAUGUAACCUGCAUAUCAUACACGUUUAACAGUGUAGACACGAGGGAAAACAUGGGACUGGUGAAUUUGUUAUCAAUUCAAAAGCUGUAUAUGGAAUGAUACAUGCAGGAAUUUGUGCCACACAUUUCAACAAUUUCCUUAAUGGAUUGAAUGUACUUUUUGUGAAUUCAUCAGACAUACUUAAAGAAAAAGGAGAAUGAAACUUGAAAGAAAAUAUUUGCAGUUGCAAAAGAAUCCUGUAAAUAAAUUCAAAACUCAGCAAAAGAAGAAACAGUUUUAAACAUGGUUAAUUUAAUGAAUAAUUGGAAGGUCUCAUUGUCAUCAUUUAACAGCAGGUUAUUAGCAGCAGUUUUUCAGAAAAAUGAAGGAUAGCUGUCAAUGGUAAAUGCAGCAUCAGAAUAUUCCCCAGGAAAGUUUACUCAGAGAGUUUGGGAAAGUAUGAAUAAGAAAUUAGAGAGGGAAACAGAUAACCAGAAAACAAAGAUUUUAAAAGAAAAGAAUUGCCACUAUUAGUAAUAUGAUAUAUCUGACUGGGAGCAACAUGUACUAUUCAAUAUGGAAGGAUUAACAAUUUUGACUGAGAACAAAGUGAACUCUAAUAAUGCUAUGACUAUCAAUCAAUACUUGACUGAAUCAGAGGAGUAAACUAUUUACAUAUUUGUAAAUAUAACAGUUAUAUGUUUGCUUGAUUAUUGAGGCAUUCAAAAUAAAGAAAGUUGAAAAACCUUUGAAAAAGUUAUAAUUUCAUAAUUUUUUGGUUAUGUUACUAUGACAACUGAAAUAUAUAAUGUAUUAUCAUUAUGCUUCAUCAACUUAAAUCAUUUAUUGAGGAAAAGGUGACAAAGUCUUUUUAUCCAUUUACUUGCACGACUGUUAUCUAUGAAUCGAUAUUUAAAAAAAAAAAAUAUUUGGUGAUUUUUGCUAACUUCUGACUAAUUUAUUUUGCUCAUUUAAUACCACAGUAAUGC